AACAAAGACCCACAAAAAGAGCAUCCAAUGAAGACGUACACAUCACUACGGUACCAGUCAGUCUUUUAUUAAAGUGAAACCAAAUGAUAAUCAUAAACCUCAUCCUCCCUAAUUAUUCAAAAGAAAAUAAAAUGUUGGAAAAAGCAAAAAAAAAAAAAAAAAACCGACAACCGAUUUCAUUUUGAUAAAUCCGCAACUUUCGUCGGAUUUUCAACAGCGUCGUCUAGAUUUUUUUUUUUUUUAAAUAGUGCCGAGUUUUCUACAGAAUUUGACCGAGAUUUAACAUUUGACCAGAUUCGGGGGUUAAAAGAAGUAAAUCCGUUUGUUUCCCAAAAAAGCGUCGGUCGAGCUUCACCGGCGUUCUUUUUUAAAAAUAAAUACAUAAAAAGCGAAGCGAGCGACCCACACAGAGAGGUUUUUCGAAGAGAGAAAGAAUCGCUUGGUUUAUAAGCCAGAGACUUAUAUUUCUCGAAGAAGGAAGAAAGCGAGAGAGAGAAAAGCUUCUAUUGUUUUUUUCAAAGCUUUUCUUUCUUUGUUUGAAGAUAACAGAUAAAGAGCCAUGGCCAUGGCUGAGUCAAAUGGUUCUAUACCUCGCGAUGCAGAAAAGAUCUAUCUUGGUGGAAAGGAACAUCAUGUACGAACGUGGUGUGGUUCUGUAUCUGUUAUAGUAUGUGGUGACCAAGACAAGCCAGCACUAAUUACAUAUCCUGAUUUGGCUUUGAAUCAUAUGUCUUGUUUCCAAGGAUUGUUCUUUUGUCCUGAAGCAGCCUCCUUGCUGCUUCACAACUUCUGCAUUUACCAUAUUAGUCCUCCUGGGCAUGAGUUGGGAGCUGCUCCAAUUGGUGCAAGUGUUUCUGCACAUUGUGUUGAUGACUUAGCUGAUCAGAUCCUUGAGGUUCUCAACUUUUUUGGGCUUGGUGCAGUGAUGUGCAUGGGAGUAACAGCCGGUGCUUACAUUCUUACUCUAUUUGCUAUGAAAUACAGAGAACGUGUUCUUGGUUUGAUACUUAUAUCCCCUCUUUGCAGAGCACCCUCUUGGACUGAAUGGUUUUAUAACAAGGUGAUGUCAAAUUUGUUAUAUUUUUAUGGAGUGUGUGGACUGGUUAAGGAGUGUUUGCUUCAACGUUACUUUAGCAAGGAAGUUCGUGGUAAUGCUGAAGUUCCUGAGUCGGACAUAGUUCAAGCAUGCAGAAGAUUACUGGAUGAGAGGCAUGGAUCAAAUGUGAUGCGAUUUCUUCAAGCAAUUAAUAGGAGACCUGACCUCACCAGUGGGCUGAAGAGGCUUAGAUGUCGUACGUUAAUAUUUGUUGGGGAUAAUUCACCUUUUCAUUCCGAGGCCCUCCAAAUGACAUCCAAGUUGGAGAGAAGAUUUAGUGCCUUAGUUGAGGUCCAGUCUUGUGGAUCAAUGGUGACAGAAGAACAGCCACAUGCAAUGUUGAUACCUAUGGAAUACUUCUUCAUGGGAUAUGGGUUGUAUAGGCCUAGCCAGUUGAGUGACAGCCCUAGGAGCCCGUUAAAUCCGUUUUGCAUCUCACCGGAGCUCCUCUCUCCAGAAAGCAUGGGUUUGAAGCUAAAACCUAUAAAGACCCGAAUUUCGCUUGAAGUUUGAUAGGGGGUUGAGAAAGAUUGGAUUUAUUUUGUUUAUAAAUUUUUUUGGUUCUUUUUGGUCUUUUGAAAAAGAAAAGGUAUAUAAUAAGGGUAGAGAAGCAGUUGGGGAGGGCCUGUAGAUACAAGGAAGAUAUAGGGAGAGGGGUAACAUGAGAUCAUUCUUUUGCAGUCAGUCAUAAAGAAGUCGUUGAACUCUGAUCUCUAUUUCUCUUUCUCCUCUAUUUUAAUGGUUCUUAUGCAUUUAGGGGGGUUUGGUGGCACGUUGGGAUGGGAUAGGAUGAACCAAUUCAACGAGAGGAACGUGCCCGGUACCUUAUUAUGGAAGGUUUGGUAUUUAUGUUUAGUGUUGACGUUAAGUGGCCUCAGCCCGGGAGUCUCCAGCUUUUCGAAAAUACAAAAUCGUGCUGACAGGUUGGGUUGAUUGAUGACUGGUGGAGGAAUGCGGAAGCCGUAAGUUCAACUUUUGAUGUCCAAUUCAGAAAAAUAUGCAUGAUAGUAUCUGACAACAUCAAGAAAGGAAAUAUAAGAAAACUUUCAAGUUUUCCCUGAAAAAGAGAAAGAGUCGUGCAAACUCUGUUCUCCUCAAUCAUCUUCCAUGGAGGCGCUCGGAGUUCAUUCUCACUUCUUGAAGAAGGAUCAACAACUCCUCAACAAGAUCCUCAAGGUCAAUAUCUCCAUGAAUUCGUGCAAAACCCCAAAUUGCCUCCAACUUUGGCUCAAUUGGCAUAUUCUCAACAAACUCAUUCAAAAGCCCAGCUCUUCCAAAAACAUCAAUAACCCCUAAAUAAUGUUCAAUCCUCCGGCGGAGCAAUCCUUGUGUUCAGUCUUCAUCAAUUCAAAGUACAUUACUCCUUCCUCUACAGCCUCUACACUGGCACAAGCCGAUAAAAUAUUUGAUAGCACAAAAGUUAUCAACUAAUCAGCCAACUACUAUAUAGAUUCAGUGCUUCAGCUUGUUUGUAAAUGCUGGCUGCUCUGAAUCAAAAUAUCUAACCCAUCACUGCACCAUGGUUGAACAAAAGAAAUGGUAGCCAACUCAAAAACUAGACUACUAGAGGAGCAAAAUUAGAAUAGUCUUAAUACUCUGAUCGAAAUUUCCAAUUGAUUUGCUAUCCUGUGUAAAAAAUUUAAUUUAAAGAGUCUUGUUUUGUGCUGCGACACAGUGGGAUAAGAGGGUGAUUCUUGUAGGAUAGAAGUAAGUACUAAAAAGAUAUAGCAAUCAGCAACCGGUUACUAAAAUUACUAUUUCAUUGUUAACAUAUCUCAUUAAAUAAUCACAAUGGGAAGUCAAGGUCUCACUGUAUAAUGGAAGCUUAAUGUAAAAGAAAGAAACAUACUGUCUUUUAACAGCUUCAACAUCAUAGCAUGCUCAACAAAUCUGAAUCUGGAUGAUCAAAUGAUAUAAUCUGACCACUCAAAGAUAAAUGAAGUGUGAUGAUCCAUGGACUCUCCAGGGCAUUCCUCGUACCUUGACGGUUUCUCCUUCCCUCCUAUGAGCCUG